AACGAACGCUGGCGGCAUGCCUAACACAUGCAAGUCGAACGAGACCUUCGGGUCUAGUGGCGCACGGGUGCGUAACGCGUGGGAACCUGCACUUAGGUUCGGAAUCACUCCUUGCAAGGGGUGCUAAUACCGGAUAAUGUCUUAGGACCAAAGAUUUAUCGCCUUUGGAUGGGCCCGCGUUGGAUUAGCUAGUUGGUAGGGUAAGAGCCUACCAAGGCGACGUUCCAUAGCUGGUAUGAGAGGAUGAUCAGCCACACUGGGACUGAGACACGGCCCAGACUCCUGCGGGAUGCAGGAGUGGGGAAUAUUGGACAAUGGGCGAAAGCCUGAUACAGCAAUGCCGCGUGAGUGAUUAAGGCCUUAGAGUUGUAAAGCUCUUUUACCCGGGAUUAUAAUGACAGUACCGAGAGAAUAAGCACCGGCUAACUCCGUG
rnacentral:rRNA from 1 species